CCUACGGGGUGCAGCCGUGAGGAAUAUUGGUCGAUGGACGAGAGUCUGAACCAGCCAAGUAGCGUGAAGGAUGACUGCCCUAUGGGUUGUAAACUUCUUUUAUAUGGGAAUAAAAUGUUCCACGUGUGGGAUUUUGUAUGUACCAUAUGAAUAAGGAUCGGCUAACUCCGUGCCAGCAGCCGCGGUAAUACGGAGGAUCCGAGCGUUAUCCGGAUUUAUUGGGUUUAAAGGGAGCGUAGGUGGAUUGUUAAGUCAGUUGUGAAAGUUUGCGGCUCAACCGGAAAAUUGCAGUUGAAACUGGCAGUCUUGAGUACAGUAGAGGUGGGCGGAAUUCGUGGUGUAGCGGUGAAAUGCUUAGAUAUCACGAAGAACUCCGAUUGCGAAGGCAGUUCACUGGACUGCAACUGACACUGAGGCUCGAAAGUGUGGGUAUCAAACAGGAUUAGAUACCCUUGUAGU
rnacentral:rRNA from 1 species